UACGUAGGCAGCAAGCGUUGUUCGGAGUUACUGGGCGUAAAGGGUGUGUAGGCGGUUUUUUAAGUUUGGUGUGAAAUCUCCCGGCUCAACUGGGAGGGGUGCGCCGAAUACUGAAAGACUAGAGUGCGGGAGAGGAAAGUGGAAUUCCUGGUGUAGCGGUGAAAUGCGUAGAUAUCAGGAGGAACACCGGUGGUGUAGACGGCUUUCUGGACCGUAACUGACGCUGAGACACGAAAGCGUGGGUAGCAAACAGG
rnacentral:rRNA from 1 species